rnacentral:rRNA from 1 species
UACAGAGGUCCCAAGCGUUGUUCGGAUUCACUGGGCGUAAAGGGUGCGUAGGCGGUCGGGUAAGUCUGUCGUGAAAUCUCCGAGCCCAACUCGGAAACUGCGUCGGAUACUAUUCGGCUAGAGGAAUGGAGGGGAGACUGGAAUUCUCGGUGUAGCAGUGAAAUGCGUAGAUAUCGAGAGGAACACCAGUGGCGAAGGCGGGUCUCUGGGCCGAGAUUGACGCUGAGGAGCGAAAGCGUGGGGAGCGAACAGG